GGACGGACGUUAGCUCCAAAUUCCCGCUACUCUCAACUCUUGAUCUAGCCUCAUCUCUUAAUCCUUGCACUCCUCCAUCCGAACUAAUGGCGAGAACUCCGUCAAAGAUGACCACUCCGACAAAUACACCAGAUGUACUCCCCGUCCCUCUCUAGCAUCCUUUACAUGUUUUGCUAAGUUAUUUUUUAUCCUUUUUUUUUCAAUACAAAACACAGAAGGGAAGGGAGAUCACCGACGACCACCCGACCAUUAUACAGGUGGAAAACAAUCCAUAUGAUCCUAGUUUAAUGGUUUUCAUGGACUAUAGAGAUUACACAAAACCGGCAGUUCAAUGCUUGGAAGCAGAAUAUCCAACAUGUCUUUAUGUCAUGCCCAUGUCACCAACAAGAGUUUUCUUUGAGGAGACUUGUUUGGCCUCAAGAGAUGCCAUGCCCUUUGAUCUGUUGAAGAAAAAAUUGAUGUCAAGGUUGGAUAACAUGGGUGUUCGAAUAAUAAAAACUUAUGAAGAGGAGUGGUCCUAUAUACCUGUUGGUGGAUCAUUACCACAUACAGAGCAAAAGAAGCAUUUGGUGCUGCAGCUAGCAUGGUGCAUCCAGCUACAGGCUAUUCAGUUGUGAGAUCUUUAUCAGAGGCUCCAAAAUAUGCUUCUGUAAUUGCAAAUAUGUUGAAGCAAGGAAUAGAUUCCAAGCAUGUAAUGACUCCUGAUAAGAACAUUGGAAAUAUUUCAAUGCAAGCUUGGAGUUCUCUUUGGCCACAAGAAAGGAAACGUCAGAGAUCAUUUUUUUUCUCUUUGGACUGGCAUUAAUUUUGCAAUUGGAUAUUGAAGGCAUCAGAACAUUCUUUCACACUUUCUUCCGUUUACCUAAUUGGAUGUGGCAGGGUUUUCUUGGUUCUACCCUUUCAUCAUCAGACCUCAUAGUGUUUGCUUUUUAUAUGUUUGUUAUGGCACCGAAUAGCAUGAGAAUGUGCCUAAUUAGACAUCUUCUUUCUGAUCCUACUGGAUCAACUAUGAACAACUAGGUGACACCCGGAACCACUCAAGUAACAACU